rnacentral:tRNA from 1 species
UCCAGGGUAGCCUAGUGGACAUGGCAUCUGCCCAAUAAGCGGAACACUGUGGGUUCGAUUCCCAUCCCUGGAC